rnacentral:precursor_RNA from 1 species
UGGGCUACGGGCUGUCCAGGGGAGUGGCUGCGGCCCCCGACCUCCCGUAGCUCACUU